rnacentral:rRNA from 1 species
GGGUUAAGUCCGUAACGAGCGCAACCCUUGUCCUUAGUUACCAGCACGUUAUGGUGGGCACUCUAAGGAGACUGCCGGUGGACAAACCGGAGGAAGGUGGGGAUGACGUCAAGUCAUCAUGGCCCUUACGGCCUGGGCUACACACGUGCUACAAUGGUCGGUACAAAGGGUUGCCAAGCCGCGAGGUGGAGCUAAUCCCAUAAAACCGAUCGUAGUCCGGAUCGCAGUCUGCAACUCGACUGCGUGAAGUCGGAAUCGCUAGUAAUCGUGAAUCAGAAUGUCACGGUGAAUACGUUCCCGGGCCUU